AGCUCCUAUGGGAGAGAUGAGGCACAGGAGAUAAUCCCUGGAAGCUUGCAGUCCAGCCAACAAGGAAUGACUGGUGUUGAAAAGCAGACACGCUGCCACAAGUUAGAUGAAAGGUCUUUCUACAAACAACCUGUCUAUCAUUUUCUCAACCAAGAUCCCCCAAGCCACCUUCUGCUUUCCUCAGGUGACUUGUGUUCAGCAUCUCACUCCCAUUUUUUCCCCCUUCGGACUGAAGAAAGUGAUAACAUCCCUGGUUUUCAGCUACCACUCUUAAUGGACACAAGAACAUUACAAGCACUCUCUGGAGGCAUUUAUGAUUCUCUUGGAAUACUCUUCCCAUCCACCGUGUUGUUAAACAAAUCAGGACAAUUGUGAGAGUGAGAGCUCAACAGAACUGUAUUCCUAAUUACAUAUGGACAAUAGACAUGCUUGCUUGGUCUUGGAAUGGAUGUAUGACGUCGAUGUAGUUGCAUGUCAAUAACAGGCACUCCUAUAUUGGUCACAGUAUAGUUUGCCAUAAAAAUAAUCUGUCAUGAGUUUGUGUCCUCCCAGAGAGAACAAUAAACAGAUAAGCCAAGAAAGAAACAGACCCAUGUGCUUCUUCAAGAGAGUGGGACAGAAGGAAAGGAAAGAAUGGAUAAGGAUGAGAACAAAAGCCAGAAGAGUCCUGUUGGCACUAGUCUGUCAGACACUGAGGAGGAAGUGCAUAGAUUAAUUCUGCUUUUAUGCAGAGCAAUGCUGUGUGAACCAGAUGGGAGAGAAUUCCACACCCAGGUCCCGGACAGUGGGGAUCAAAAACAUACAAAAUGCAGACGGGAAGCCAGAAAAUGGGGAAGAUGCUGUGCAAGCAAAGAAAACACAUAAUUCAGUGUUUCUACUGGUUAGACAUGUGUGCCC
rnacentral:lncRNA from 1 species